rnacentral:rRNA from 1 species
UACGGAGGAUGCAAGCGUUAUCCGGAUUUAUUGGGUUUAAAGGGUACGCAGGCGGAAAAUUAAGUCAGUGGUGAAAUCCUGCAGCUUAACUGUAGAACUGUCAUUGAUACUGGUUUUCUUGAAUACAGUUGAGGUAGGCGGAAUGUGUAAUGUAGCGGUGAAAUGCUUAGAUAUUACACAGAACACCGAUUGCGAAGGCAGCUUACUAAACUGUGAUUGACGCUGAGGUACGAAAGCGUGGGGAGCGAACAGG